rnacentral:rRNA from 1 species
GGUUAAGCGACUAAGCGUACACGGUGGAUGCCCUGGCAGUCAGAGGCGAUGAAGGACGUGCUAAUCUGCGAUAAGCGUCGGUAAGGUGAUAUGAACCGUUAUAACCGGCGAUUUCCGAAUGGGGAAACCCAGUGUGAUUCGUCACACUAUCAUUAACUGAAUCCAUAGGUUAAUGAGGCGAACCGGGGGAACUGAAACAUCUAAGUACCCCGAGGAAAAGAAAUCAACCGAGAUUCCCCCAGUAGCGGCGAGCGAACGGGGAGCAGCCCAGAGCCUGAAUCAGUGUGUGUGUUAGUGGAAGCGUCUGGAAAGGCGCGCGAUACAGGGUGACAGCCCCGUACACAAAAAUGCACAUGCUGUGAGCUCGAUGAGUAGGGCGGGACACGUGGUAUCCUGUCUGAAUAUGGGGGGACCAUCCUCCAAGGCUAAAUACUCCUGACUGACCGAUAGUGAACCAGUACCGUGAGGGAAAGGCGAAAAGAACCCCGGCGAGGGGAGUGAAAAAGAACCUGAAACCGUGUACGUACAAGCAGUGGGAGCACGCUUAGGCGUGUGACUGCGUACCUUUUGUAUAAUGGGUCAGCGACUUAUAUUCUGUAGCAAGGUUAACCGAAUAGGGGAGCCGAAGGGAAACCGAGUCUUAACUGGGCGUUAAGUUGCAGGGUAUAGACCCGAAACCCGGUGAUCUAGCCAUGGGCAGGUUGAAGGUUGGGUAACACUAACUGGAGGACCGAACCGACUAAUGUUGAAAAAUUAGCGGAUGACUUGUGGCUGGGGGUGAAAGGCCAAUCAAACCGGGAGAUAGCUGGUUCUCCCCGAAAGCUAUUUAGGUAGCGCCUCGUGAAUUCAUCUCCGGGGGUAGAGCACUGUUUCGGCAAGGGGGUCAUCCCGACUUACCAACCCGAUGCAAACUGCGAAUACCGGAGAAUGUUAUCACGGGAGACACACGGCGGGUGCUAACGUCCGUCGUGAAGAGGGAAACAACCCAGACCGCCAGCUAAGGUCCCAAAGUCAUGGUUAAGUGGGAAACGAUGUGGGAAGGCCCAGACAGCCAGGAUGUUGGCUUAGAAGCAGCCAUCAUUUAAAGAAAGCGUAAUAGCUCACUGGUCGAGUCGGCCUGCGCGGAAGAUGUAACGGGGCUAAACCAUGCACCGAAGCUGCGGCAGCGACGCUUAUGCGUUGUUGGGUAGGGGAGCGUUCUGUAAGCCUGUGAAGGUGUACUGUGAGGUAUGCUGGAGGUAUCAGAAGUGCGAAUGCUGACAUAAGUAACGAUAAAGCGGGUGAAAAGCCCGCUCGCCGGAAGACCAAGGGUUCCUGUCCAACGUUAAUCGGGGCAGGGUGAGUCGACCCCUAAGGCGAGGCCGAAAGGCGUAGUCGAUGGGAAACAGGUUAAUAUUCCUGUACUUGGUGUUACUGCGAAGGGGGGACGGAGAAGGCUAUGUUGGCCGGGCGACGGUUGUCCCGGUUUAAGCGUGUAGGCUGGUUUUCCAGGCAAAUCCGGAAAAUCAAGGCCGAGGCGUGAUGACGAGGCACUACGGUGCUGAAGCAACAAAUGCCCUGCUUCCAGGAAAAGCCUCUAAGCAUCAGGUAACAUCAAAUCGUACCCCAAACCGACACAGGUGGUCAGGUAGAGAAUACCAAGGCGCUUGAGAGAACUCGGGUGAAGGAACUAGGCAAAAUGGUGCCGUAACUUCGGGAGAAGGCACGCUGAUACGUAGGUGAAGCGACUUGCUCGUGGAGCUGAAAUCAGUCGAAGAUACCAGCUGGCUGCAACUGUUUAUUAAAAACACAGCACUGUGCAAACACGAAAGUGGACGUAUACGGUGUGACGCCUGCCCGGUGCCGGAAGGUUAAUUGAUGGGGUUAGCGCAAGCGAAGCUCUUGAUCGAAGCCCCGGUAAACGGCGGCCGUAACUAUAACGGUCCUAAGGUAGCGAAAUUCCUUGUCGGGUAAGUUCCGACCUGCACGAAUGGCGUAAUGAUGGCCAGGCUGUCUCCACCCGAGACUCAGUGAAAUUGAACUCGCUGUGAAGAUGCAGUGUACCCGCGGCAAGACGGAAAGACCCCGUGAACCUUUACUAUAGCUUGACACUGAACAUUGAGCCUUGAUGUGUAGGAUAGGUGGGAGGCUUUGAAGUGUGGACGCCAGUCUGCAUGGAGCCGACCUUGAAAUACCACCCUUUAAUGUUUGAUGUUCUAACGUGGACCCGUGAUCCGGGUUGCGGACAGUGUCUGGUGGGUAGUUUGACUGGGGCGGUCUCCUCCUAAAGAGUAACGGAGGAGCACGAAGGUUGGCUAAUCCUGGUCGGACAUCAGGAGGUUAGUGCAAUGGCAUAAGCCAGCUUGACUGCGAGCGUGACGGCGCGAGCAGGUGCGAAAGCAGGUCAUAGUGAUCCGGUGGUUCUGAAUGGAAGGGCCAUCGCUCAACGGAUAAAAGGUACUCCGGGGAUAACAGGCUGAUACCGCCCAAGAGUUCAUAUCGACGGCGGUGUUUGGCACCUCGAUGUCGGCUCAUCACAUCCUGGGGCUGAAGUAGGUCCCAAGGGUAUGGCUGUUCGCCAUUUAAAGUGGUACGCGAGCUGGGUUUAGAACGUCGUGAGACAGUUCGGUCCCUAUCUGCCGUGGGCGCUGGAGAACUGAGGGGGGCUGCUCCUAGUACGAGAGGACCGGAGUGGACGCAUCACUGGUGUUCGGGUUGUCAUGCCAAUGGCACUGCCCGGUAGCUAAAUGCGGAAGAGAUAAGUGCUGAAAGC